rnacentral:rRNA from 1 species
CGAAAGGGUGACUAUGCGACGCCGCGUGUGCGAUGAAGGUCUUCGGAUCGUAAAGCACUGUCAGCCGGAAGGAAUCUCUGGAGGCUUAAUAAGCUUGCAGGGUGACAGUACCGGCAGAGGAAGCCACGGCUAACUCCGUGCCAGCAGCCGCGGUAAUACGGAGGUGGCAGGCGUUAUUCGGAAUCACUGGGCUUAAAGGGCGCGUAGGCGGGUAAUCAAGUCAAUGGUGAAAGCCUCCAGCUUAACUGGAGAAGUGCCUUUGAUACUGAUUGUCUAGAGUGAGGUAGGGGCAUGUGGAACUUCCGGUGGAGCGGUGAAAUGCGUAGAUAUCGGAAGGAACGCCAGUGGCGAAAGCGAUGUGCUGGACCUUUUCUGACGCUGAGGCGCGAAAGCUAGGGGAUCAAACGGGAUUAGAUACCCCGGUAGUCCUAGCCCU